rnacentral:lncRNA from 1 species
CGGCUCCCUACUUAUUGUUUCCUACUUAAGAGGUGCCAGGAUCUCUUACAUGGCUUUGGAUACUUAAAUUCCGCCCAUACUUACACGAGAUUUUCUACUAAAAAAACCUGUUUCAUGUAAGAAUGUUGGCAAUUAUAUAAUCUUUAGUCAAAAAUUCAGCAAAUGACUUCUAUCAUAUCAAAAUUUGUUGUGGUAAUUAAGGUAUAUCCAUAAAUGGGGUUCAGAAAUGAAAAAAAAAAAUGCCGCAUAUCACGGGAUUCGAACAUCAGACCUUUUGAAUCGCAAUCCGAUGCUUAACCACUGAGCUACACUCGAUGGAAAAUAUAUUGCAAACAUAGCAACAAAUACUAUAAAGGUCUGUUGGGUGAUAGAAAAUUUUUUGGAAAAAUUUUUAAGAAAUGGUAUCAUUUGAUUUUACGUGCUGAAAUUCUGUAAUAAAACACCACUGAUUGAUAAAAUUUUUGAAGUUUAUAGUUAUAAUUUGAAUAAAUUUAUACUAAUAUUAA